AAGAUUCGGUGAGACUGGGCAAAAUUGGUCCUUUUUAAAGUCUUUGCUCUAUUCCCGUUACACGACAAUGAGUAAAGAGGGGCAGCUAUACAAGCCCUAUUUUGCCCGGGCCUAUAUAAUAAUAAAGCACCGUUUUACAGUAGGCCCAUGUGGCUCAAACCCAAAAAACAAAAAAAAAACCCAACUAAACUAAACCCUAAAGCAGCCCAAUACCCAAAAACAAAAAAAAGAAACACAAAAACCCUAGCCCCUAACCCUAGCCUGCCGCCGCC
rnacentral:lncRNA from 1 species